CCUACGGGAGGCAGCAGUGAGGAAUAUUGGUCAAUGGACGAGAGUCUGAACCAGCCAAGUAGCGUGAAGGAUGACUGCCCUAUGGGUUGUAAACUUCUUUUAUAUGGGAAUAAAAUGUUCCACGUGUGGGAUUUUGUAUGUACCAUAUGAAUAAGGAUCGGCUAACUCCGUGCCAGCAGCCGCGGUAAUACGGAGGAUCCGAGCGUUAUCCGGAUUUAUUGGGUUUAAAGGGAGCGUAGGUGGAUUGUUAAGUCAGUUGUGAAAGUUUGCGGCUCAAACGUAAAAUUGCAGUUGAAACUGGCAGUCUUGAGUACGGUAGAGGUGGGCGGAAUUCGUGGUGUAGCGGUGAAAUGCUUAGAUAUCACGAAGAACUCCGAUUGCGAAGGCAGUUCACUGGACUGCAACUGACACUGAGGCUCGAAAGUGUGGGUAUCAAACAGGAUUAGAUACCCUAGUAGUC
rnacentral:rRNA from 1 species